CACGCCGACGCGUUGGAGGGAAGGAAUGCGGCAGGCGGAAAAUUUGGGAAGCAGCACCACGAUUCCUCCCACUCGGGUCGUACUUUUCUGUACUGCGCCCGGGUCUUGGGUGAAGUUAUUACAGGGUUUCGGCCCUCGAUUCUGAGUUACUGGAGUUCUUCUGUACGUCCUGCGAUGGGAUUUCAUAACGAUUCUUGAGCUUCAGGACAGAUGCAGGAAACACUCAGGACCCAGCAACCGGCUGAUUCGGAGGUACACAGGAAAAUGUCAAGACGAAGAAGCAAAGUACAAUCUCAGACCUCCAGCCCACCCAGAACAAGUCCAGAAGACAGACACAAAAGCAAUUAGAAGUCACACACCUGAAAUCUCAGAAAUGAUGGCAACUGAAGUGAAAAGACAAUUUAGUACUAAUAUGGUUUACUGUGCCAUUUGAUUGACUGUGUAUCAGUGUGUGGUGGUCUGAGCAUCUAGAGGAUAACAAUGUGCAUUACAACAAUUAUGCUUGAUUUCCUGGUCUUGUUUUUGAAAUCCAAUGUUGUUCCCAUUGUUUUGUUUCAUUUUAUCUUACUUUCUUUAAAAUAAUAAAAGAGUUACAACAUUUUCAAAACAAUAGAAAA